GAUGAACGCUGGCGGCGUGCCUAAUACAUGCAAGUCGAGCGAACCCUUCGGGGUUAGCGGCGGACGGGUGAGUAACACGUGGGCAACCUACCUUGCAGAUGGGGAUAACACCGAGAAAUCGGUGCUAAUACCGAAUAACACUUCACUUCACAUGAAAAGAAGUUAAAAGUUGGCUUCGGCUAACACUGUAAGAUGGGCCCGCGGCGCAUUAGCUAGUUGGUGAGGUAACGGCUCACCAAGGCGACGAUGCGUAGCCGACCUGAGAGGGUGAUCGGCCACACUGGGACUGAGACACGGCCCAGACUCCUACGGGAGGCAGCAGUAGGGAAUCUUCCGCAAUGGACGAAAGUCUGACGGAGCAACGCCGCGUGAGUGAUGAAGGCCUUCGGGUCGUAAAACUCUGUUGUUAGGGAAGAACAAGUACCGUUCGAAUAGGGCGGUACCGUGACGGUACCUAACCAGAAAGCCACGGCUAACUACGUGCCAGCCGCCGCCGUAAAAC
rnacentral:rRNA from 1 species